UUAACUCAAAUUUGUAUGGAGUUGGAACGUUUGCCUGCGGUUGCCGCUAGGGGCACUUUUCCAAUUACAUACUUUGAGUUA
rnacentral:pre_miRNA from 1 species